GACGAACGCUGGCGGCGUGCUUAACACAUGCAAGUCGAACGGAAAGGCCCUGCUUUUGUGGGGUGCUCGAGUGGCGAACGGGUGAGUAACACGUGAGUAACCUGCCCUUGACUUUGGGAUAACUUCAGGAAACUGGGGCUAAUACCGGAUAGGAGCUCCUGCUGCAUGGUGGGGGUUGGAAAGUUUCGGCGGUUGGGGAUGGACGCGCGGCUUAUCAGCUUGUUGGUGGGGUAGUGGCUUACCAAGGCUUUGACGGGUAGCCGGCCUGAGAGGGUGACCGGCCACAAUGGGACUAAGAUACGGCCCAGACUCCUACAGGAGGCAGCAGUGGGGAAUAUGGCACAAUGGGCGGAAGCCUGAUGCAGCAACGCCGCGUGCGUGAUGACGGCCUUCGGGUUGAAAACCGCUUUCGCCUGUUACGAAGCGUGAGUGACGGUAAUGGGUAAAGAAGCACCGGCUAACUACGUG
rnacentral:rRNA from 1 species